rnacentral:rRNA from 1 species
UACGUAGGGUGCGAGCGUUGCCCGGAUUUAUUGGGCGUAAAGGGCGCGUAGGCGGUGAGAUGCGUCUGUUGUGAAAUCGCUCGGCUCAACUGGGCGGGGUCAGCGGAUACGGUCUCACUUGAGCAAGCUAGGGGCAAUGGAAUUCCCGGUGUAGUGGUGGAAUGCGUAGAUAUCGGGAGGAACACCAGUGGCCGAAGGCGGUUG